rnacentral:rRNA from 1 species
GCGGACGGGUGAGGAAUGCAUCGGAAUCUGCCUAUUUGUGGGGGAUAACGUAGGGAAACUUACGCUAAUACCGCAUACGUCCUACGGGAGAAAGUGGGGGACCUUCGGGCCUCACGCAGAUAGAUGAGCCGAUGCCGGAUUAGCUAGUUGGCGGGGUAAAGGCCCACCAAGGCGACGAUCCGUAGCUGGUCUGAGAGGAUGAUCAGCCACACUGGAACUGAGACACGGUCCAGACUCCUACGGGAGGCAGCAGUGGGGAAUAUUGGACAAUGGGCGCAAGCCUGAUCCAGCCAUGCCGCGUGUGUGAAGAAGGCCUUCGGGUUGUAAAGCACUUUUGUCCGGAAAGAAAAGCGCUCGAUUAAUACUCGGGUGUCAUGACGGUACCGGAAGAAUAAGCACCGGCUAACUUCGUGCCAGCAGCCGCGGUAAUACGAAGGGUGCAAGCGUUACUCGGAAUUACUGGGCGUAAAGCGUGCGUAGGUGGUUUGUUAAGUCUGAUGUGAAAGCCCUGGGCUCAACCUGGGAACUGCAUUGGAUACUGGCUUACUAGAGUGCGGUAGAGGGGUGUGGAAUUCCCGGUGUAGCAGUGAAAUGCGUAGAUAUCGGGAGGAACAUCUGUGGCGAAGGCGACA